rnacentral:rRNA from 1 species
CACGGCGCACGGGUGCGUAACACGUGGGCAAUCUGCCCUCCGAUGGGGAAUAACCCCGCGAAAGCGGGACUAAUUCCGCAUAACAUUCCCUGGACUCUGGUUCGGGGAUUCAAAGCAGCAAUGCGUCGGAGGAGGAGCCCGCGCCCGAUUAGCUAGUUGGUGAGGUAACGGCUCACCAAGGCAAUGAUCGGUAGCUGGUCUGAGAGGAUGGCCAGCCACACUGGAACUGAGACACGGUCCAGACUCCUACGGGAGGCAGCAGUGGGGAAUCUUGCGCAAUGGGCGAAAGCCUGACGCAGCGACGCCGCGUGGGGGAUGAAGCUUCUCGGAGUGUAAACCCCUUUCGACCCGGACGAAUGACCCGCAAGGGUUUGACGGUACGGGUAUAAGAAGCCCCGGCUAACUACGUGCCAGCAGCCGCGGUAAUACGUAGGGGGCCAGCGUUGCUCGGAAUUACUGGGCGUAAAGGGUUCGUAGGUGGUGCGGCAAGUCGGAAGUGAAAUCUCUGGGCUUAACUCAGAGGCUGCUUUCGAAACUGCCGUGCUCGAGUGCGGGAGAGGCCAGUGGAAUUGCAGGUGUAGCGGUGAAAUGCGUAGAUAUCUGCAGGAACACCCGUGGCGAAGGCGGCUGGCUGGACCGCAACUGACACUGAGGAACGAAAGCUAGGGGAGCAAACAGGAUUAGAUACCCUGGUAGUCCUAGCCCUAAACCAUCAGGACUUGGGGUGGCCCGCGUAGGCGGGUCGUCCCGCAGCUAACGCGUUAAGUCCUGCGCCUGGGGAGUACGGUCGCAAGACUGAAACUCAAAGGAAUUGACGGGGGCCCGCACAAGCGGUGGAACAUGUGGUUCAAUUCGA